rnacentral:rRNA from 1 species
AGACGGGACCCGCACAAGCGUGGAUGAUGUGGAUUAAUUCGAUGCAACGCGAAAACCUUACCUACCUUGACAUGUCCGGAAUCCCGAAGAGAUUUGGGAGUGCUCGCAAGAGAGCCGGAACACAGGUGCUGCAUGGCUGUCGUCAGCUCGUGUCGUGAGAUGUUGGGUUAAGUCCCGCAACGAGCGCAACCCUUGUCAUUAGUUGCCAUCAUUUGGUUGGGCACUCUAAUGAGACUGCCGGUGACAAACCGGAGGAAGGUGGGGAUGACGUCAAGUCCUCAUGGCCCUUAUGGGUAGGGCUUCACACGUCAUACAAUGGUCGGUACAGAGGGUUGCCAACCCGCGAGGGGGAGCUAAUCCCACAAAGCCGAUCGUAGUCCGGAUCGCAGUCUGCAACUCGACUGCGUGAAGUCGGAAUCGCUAGUAAUCGUGGAUCAGCAUGUCACGGUGAAUACGUUCCCGGGUCUU